GACGAACGCUGGCGGCGUGCCUAAUACAUGCAAGUCGAGCGCAGGAAAUCGACGGAACCCUUCGGGGGGAAGUCGACGGAAUGAGCGGCGGACGGGUGAGUAACACGUAAAGAACCUGCCCUCAGGUCUGGGAUAACCACGAGAAAUCGGGGCUAAUACCGGAUGGGUCAUCGGACCGCAUGGUCCGAGGAUGAAAGGCGCUUCGGCGUCGCCUGGGGAUGGCUUUGCGGUGCAUUAGCUAGUUGGUGGGGUAAGGGCCCACCAAGGCGACGAUGCAUAGCCGACCUGAGAGGGUGAUCGGCCACACUGGGACUGAGACACGGCCCAGACUCCUACGGGAGGCAGCAGUAGGGAAUCUUCCACAAUGGACGAAAGUCUGACGGAGCAACGCCGCGUGAGUGAAGAAGGCCUUCGGGUUGUAAAGCUCUGUCGCCCGGGACGAACAGCUUGUGGGUGAAUAGCCCAUGAGUCUGACGGUACUGGGAAAGGAAGCACCGGCUAACUCCGUGCCAGCCGCCGCCGUAA
rnacentral:rRNA from 1 species